rnacentral:lncRNA from 10 species
AUUAUGGGUUAGGUGAGGAACCUCGCCCUCUUCUAUUACGGUACGCGCGAUGGGUAUUCCCUGAUGCCAUGAACUUACACGUUUCACACACGGGACCAGACGCUUGCUUUAGUUGACGCAUGAAGACCGGUCCGGUCUUUUGCGGAGAAAAGUGGUUAAAAGCUGACUUGUGGGCCGAGAAACUGUGGCACCCUAAUGAGCUAGGGCUAGACGCUUCGACCACCACGCCAAGUGAUUCUGAAGAUCUCUAAUUCUGUCAAGGCGAGAGCGCUCCAACACGUGUUCAUCGGCUGUUGCUUUUUAAAGAGAAGGUCAGGCAUGGUGGCUCACACCUGUAAUCCCAGCAUGUUGGGAGGCCAAGAUGGGAGACUCACUUGAGCCCAGAAGUUCCAGACCAGCCUUGGCAAUAUAGUGAGAUGCCAUUUCUAUUUUAAAAAAUAUUUUAAAAAUAAAAUAUUUUUCUAUUCACCUUUCAUCAAUACAAA